AACCAUAGAAACCUGCGGAGUACCUGCGGAGGGAUCAUUAACAAAUCGAAUGUUAUGUAGUUAUUUUUAAAAUAACUAUAUAAUAACAUUAACACCGGGUAUAUUCUAUUGUCUUAAGGUGGUUGUACAACUGCCUCAUUAUGAUAAAAUAUUGCCCUGUGGUUCGUGAUAUAUAUAGUAGACUCGUCUAUUUAUAUGUAUUGCAAUAUUAACGUUUUUUUAUGAUUGACAGAGUAGUCU
rnacentral:misc_RNA from 1 species